CUGCAAGUGCUCAGUCCAAGUUGGGCAAGUUGGUGUUUGUAACAUCUUUCUAUGAAAGUCUGAUAUGGGUUCUCUCCUAAACUUCUGUUAGAACGGUGGGAAACAUUGCUCCCGUGAGAACGGUAUAGUGGACUUCAUCGCCACUGACCCACAGUUAUUAGGGUGUGACACGAACUUGUGGACAGAGUACCGAGCUGCUGCUUUGCCAGGUGGAUUUCUGGUUGCGGGCAAAGGACCCGACACAUCAGUGUGUUUUAAUUUGUUUUAAACUGGUGUAGUCGCGAACGGUGAAGGCGCUGCAGGGAAAACAAAUCCUUUUUUUUCCUCACCGCUUCUGCAUGCACAGCGGUGGGCCUGAGUGAAGACGGCACUGAAGCUUUUGUUUUUCUCUAUAGUGUUUUGCCCAUCUGGGGUCGUGUGUCAGUUGCCGUCCCUUUUUAACCUGUGUGUUGUGUUGAUUUGUUCUUACACGGUUCCCCGCAGCGCUUGUCCUGUCUCACGGGCAAUCGUACAGUUUUAUCGUUUUUAUUAAACAAGGUAAAGUUUUUAAUUGUUAAGUGCCGCUGUUACAUUGUUACUUUUAUUUUGUAUUAAAAAUUAAAUUCUUUUUAACUGACUGUGCGCCUACGGCUCUGUCCUAUUUUAAAUAGGUACCUACCACGGGUCACAGAUGGUUGGCUGAAUAGAGCUCUGACUUUUUGUCAGCCUGGCUACAGUGCUGAAG